rnacentral:rRNA from 1 species
UACAGAGGUGGCAAGCGUUGUUCGGAAUUACUGGGCGUAAAGGGCGCGUAGGCGGUCUUCUAAGUUCCGUGUGAAAUCCCUCGGCUCAACUGGGGAAUGGCACGGGAAACUGGAAGGCUUGAGUUCGGGAGAGGAGAGUGGAAUUCCUGGUGUAGCGGUGAAAUGCGCAGAUAUCAGGAAGAACACCCGUGGCGAAGGCGGCUCUCUGGAACGCAACUGACGCUGAGACGCGAAAGCGUGGGGAGCAAACAGG